rnacentral:rRNA from 2 species
UAGAGUGUUUAAAGCAGGCUUAAGCUUGAAUACAUUAGCAUGGAAUAAUGAAAUAGGACGUUUGAUCUUAUUUUGUUGGUUUCUAAGACCGCCGUAAUGAUUAAUAGGGAUAGUCGGGGGCAUCAGUAUUCAACUGUCAGAGGUGAAAUUCUUGGAUUAAUUGAAGACUAACUACUGCGAAAGCAUCUGCCAAGGAUGUUUUCAUUAAUCAGUGAACGAAAGUUAGGGGAUCGAAGACGAUCAGAUACCGUCGUAGUCCUAACCAUAAACUAUGCCGACUAGGGAUCGGACGAUGUUAUAUUUUGACUCGUUCGGCGCCUUACGGGAAAC